rnacentral:lncRNA from 1 species
UGUCAUAACAGGAAAAGCCGUCAUUGCCAGGCCUAACAUCAAAGGUAGAAGAAGGGGUGUCACUGUUAAAGUCGCAGAAGACAACCUGGUCUUCAGCGUAGCCCAUGAUGCCCUUAGGGGUCCCUCCGAUGCCUGCUUCACCACUUUCUUGAUGUCACAU